UAACGGUGAAAUGCGUAGAGAUUAGGAAGAACACCAGUGGCGAAGGCGCUUCUCUGGACUGUAACUGACGCUGAGGCUCGAAAGCGUGGGGAGCAAACAGGAUUAGAUACCCCGGUAGUCCACGCCGUAAACGAUGGAUACUAGGUGUCGCGGGGGGUCACCUCGCGGUGCCGGAGCUAACGCACUAAGUAUCCCGCCUGGGGAGUACGGCCGCAAGGUUGAAACUCAAAGGAAUUGACGGGGGCCCGCACAAGCAGUGGAGCAUGUGGUUUAAUUCGACGCAACGCGCAGAACCUUACCAGGACUCGACAGGAUCGUGAGCGCCGCGAAAGCGGCGGGCCCUUUCGGGGAGCGACCCCAGGUGCUGCAUGGUUGUCGUCAGCUCGUGUCGUGAGAUGUUGGGUUAAGUCCCGCAACGAGCGCAACCCUUGUCGUGUGUUGCCAGCGGUUCGGCCGGGCACUCACACGAGACUGCCGGUGACAAACCGGAGGAAGGUGGGGAUGACGUCAAAUCCGCAUGGCCUUUAUGUCCUGGGCCACACACGUGCUACAAUGGUUCCGACAACGGGCCGCCACGGCGCGAGCCGCAGCGAAUCCUUCAAACGGAAUCUCAGUUCGGAUUGCAGG
rnacentral:rRNA from 1 species